GGAGUGAUCGUUACCCGUUAAAAGCCCUUUUAUCCGCACCCAUUAUGUUAUCGACGGAUCACAGAGCGCUGUGAUCUGAAGCCCUCGUAGUCAUAGUUUGACACUUGUGAGUGAGUCCCCAAGGUGGAGGUGUCGGCAGUGAGAGUGGGGAGAGCAGAGGAAGAAAGAAACGCACCGACAAAAUUCGGAAGAGUCAUUGUGACCGAACAGUCAAACCGAACAGUCGCGCAAAAAUUAAUAGCAAAGCACAGAUUCAUAAAAUAUUCGGAGAAACGAGUGACGGUGACCGAGGUCUCGCUGCCAAGCAGAAUUUUCCACCGAGGAGGGAUUUGUACCAGUGACGACGACAAGGAGUUGUAGCUCUUCGAGGGAGUUCAUUAACGUCGUAAAAGAAAAACUCCAGGUACAAAUAAAAUGUCUCAAUAAUCUCUCGGUGGUGCGGCAUCAGCCAGGCAUUGAAGUCGGCUGAAGGUCACCGCCAUUUCGCGUUCGGUCACAAUCAUUAGAUUAA